AUCUGUGUAGCGCAAUGGAUAGCGCGUUGGACUUCUAAUCCAACGGUCGUGGGUUUUAUGCAAUCCCACUUGGGAUU